rnacentral:lncRNA from 1 species
UCUGGAUUGAUCAAUAUCCUCAUGAUGAUACUAUGACUAGGAGUAUUUAGAAAUUAAUUAUACAUGCCUCUAAUUCUCAAUACCUUUGAGAAUAUGUAUCGAAGUAUUAAUUCCACGAAUGAUUCAAGGACACAUUACUCUUGAAUGAAAAUGAAUCUUAUCCUUUUAUUGAUCAAAUCAAUGUAUUAAGUAUAAAAUUGUAUCCUAGACUUAUUACAAUG